rnacentral:lncRNA from 1 species
UACCCACUAGAGCAGCUACACAGCCCGCGGCUUGGAAUGACACCAAUGUUCUUUCCUCCAAUUGCCAAAGUAACAGUGACAAAGGGGCUGUACUUUUUUCCGUCUUGGUCUUGCCUACUCAGUGGUGUUUGGAUAAUCAUACUAAUUGGAUUGGGUAUAAAUAAUACCCCUUGAUUUCCUUGCUUUCAUAAGAAAGUGGUUUAGAGUAGAGAGAAGCAGUGCCUCUUACGGCAGAAGUAGUUUGGGAUAUGGCCAUUCCCCAGCAAGGAUGCAGCUGGGCAUAGACCCAGGGCCUGGCUUUGGUGGAGGAGAGGACCUGGAGUUGGGCCUACAAAACAUCCAGUCAGCUGCAGAAGAGGAAGAAGAAAGCAGAGUGAGACUCAACAAUGUCCAUUGCAUUUCCCAUCAGCCUAGGAGGAAGAACUUCCAUGCAAUUUUGUCCCUUCUGCACUAUGGCAAGUCUGACAGGUACCUCCCAGGUCACUGGGCAAGUCCUUGGCGUUCCUCCACCCUCCUCCCUCCUCCCUCCGGUGGGCACAUGGUAUUACUUUCGCUGUGAUUAAGGCUUGGAAGCAGGUGUAUUUUGGGUCGAAUUUAAAAAACCCUAAAGAAUUUCCAUGGUGACACUGGUGACAAUCAUAUACCAAGCUCAUAAAAGCCAUUUUGGUUUUUAUUUGUAUCACACACAAAUUGUACAUUUAUAUUUUUAGCUCCAGACUUUAUUUGCUCCGUGUCCAGAGAGAGAGCUGGAAGGGACGGGGAUGAUAGACUGCUUCACCUACUCAAGAACUUCCAAAAUCUCUCACUAGAUAAAAAGUGAAUGAAGGAUCCUUGACAGGUUCAAAUCAACUAUUUGGGAUUUCUCCACUGGAGCAAAUGAAUUUGCAGUUUCAUAACUUUCUUAGAAUUCCCCCCUGUUACUCUAUACUGUGAUCCUUUCAACUACGAGCUUAGUCCUGGUAUCUGUCAUGAGUUUUAAAUCUGACAGUGGCUUUUAAUUAAACACUUGUUUAUCAUUCAGUUAAUGGGCUAAGACUAAUGAUGAAGGGAAAAACAGGCUUUCAGUGAUUUUCUCACCUAUCAUAUGAUACUUGAGAAAAAUAAUAAAGUGAUUUACUCAAGGGUGAGUUAGUAUAGA